rnacentral:rRNA from 1 species
GGCAAGUCUGGUGCCAGCAGCCGCGGUAAUUCCAGCUCCAAUAGCGUAUAUUAAAGUUGUUGCAGUUAAAAAGCUCGUAGUUGAAUUUCGGGGUUAGUAGGUUGGUCAUGCCUCUGGUAUGUACUGGUCUCACUGAUUCCUCCUUCCUGAUGAACCGUAAUGCCAUUAAUUUGGUGUUGCGGGGAAUUUGGACUGUUACUUUGAAAAAAUUAGAGUGUUUAAAGCAAGCUAACGCUUGAAUACAUUAGCAUGGAAUAAUGAAAUAGGACGUUCGAUCCUAUUUUGUUGGUUUCUAGGAUUGACGUAAUGAUUAAUAGGGAUAGUUGGGGGCAUUAGUAUUCAAUUGUCAGAGGUGAAAUUCUUGGAUUUAUUGAAGACUAACUACUGCGAAAGCAUUUGCCAAGGAUGUUUUCAUUAAUCAAGAACGAAAGUUAGGGGAUCGAAGACGAUCAGAUACCGUCGUAGUCUUAACCAUAAACUAUGCCGACUAGGGAUCGGAUGAUGUUAAUUUUUUAAUGACUCAUUCGGCGCCUACCCGGGGAAACA